rnacentral:tRNA from 1 species
GUAAAUAUAGUUUAAAAAAAAUCUUGUUUUUGUAAUACAAAGUUAACUGUGGUUUAUUUACU